rnacentral:lncRNA from 1 species
GACUUAGCCUAGCUACCACCGAAGCCAUAGGCUACAUUAACUUAACCAUCCUACCAUAGUCACAAGGGAAAGCGAACCGCACUAAUACAAAUAUUUUUUGAAUGCUCCUUAGCCCAUGGACUUAGAGAGAGAGAAGGAAAUCAGGCCAAAGGGGGAGGGCAAUGCACAUUCUCUGACCGGAAUACAAUCCAAAGACCACUUAGAAUCAUAGAUCGAAAUAAUAAUUCUUACUUUAAGGAAGACGGGCAUAGGGACUGGACUGAUAGCGCGGGCUGGCCUACUCGAUGGCUUGUAUGAAAAUUAGACGAUUUAUCAAAAGUGAUAGAUUGGUAAAGUGUUCAUAGUAUGGGUAUGGAGGAAGCAGCCGAAGCGGAUGCCUAAAAAGAGGCCCCCUACUUCAAUGGAAAGGGGGGAAUCGCCGUUUCACAGCCACUUCUCUACAACUACCUUUCGCCUAUUAUCUGUAUAAUGGGGUUUGUCAUUUAUUGACAGAUUUUUCGGUAUUUAUCUUUCUAAGAACGGAUUUUUCGGGAUUUAUCUUGAUUUUUCUUAGAAUUGCAAUUUAUUUAAUUUAGUAGUCGUACUU